GUGGUAAUAGCUCAGCUGCAGAGCGCAUGCUUAGCAUGCAGGAGGUCCUGGGUUCAAUCCCCAGUACCUCCA
rnacentral:tRNA from 1 species